CUACGACCUGGAUGAUUCAAAGGGAAUGGUUCCCUUUUUUCCUGGACAUGAGCACCAGAGGAUGAAGAGCUAUGAGGGAGGCACACCCCAAGGCAGUCCAAAGGGAGGAGUCCUUGUGGGAACCUCAGUCAUCACAAAGGACAGACAACGUCCCCAGAGGAAGGAAGAUCUGAGUGUGGCUUGCUGCUCCUGGGGAAUAAAUGUCAGCCUUGGUGCAGCACCUGGGGUAGCCAAAAACUCACAAUCUUUGGGACAUACUCAUUUCCAGAAAGCUUCAGAGGUCAAAAACUAG
rnacentral:lncRNA from 1 species